CAUGAAUCUGCAACCGUAUGGCUGAAGCUGAGCAAGCCCCACUGGGUUUGCCUCCAGCCUGGCGCAGGAGGUUGGGUGCUCUCUGAUCUUUCCCGUUACACGACUGAGGGUCAGAAGAGCAGCUCUCAAGAAGUCCCUUUCUGUCCCUGCGGAGACACUUCAUGGCACUGGAGGUGCCGGAAACUUCUUAGUAAAGUUAUCCUGAGACCUAACCUUUCCAAGAAGCUGAAGAGCAUAUUAUAAGCCUUAUUACAGGAGAGCUGCUGAACCCUUGAAUGAACCCUGAAAUACGACAUGGAAUCAGAAGAUGACUCCUGUUUCUAUGGAAAGAAGAACCUGGGUCUACUAGUUCCGUGUUCUUGAUGAAGGUGGUUCUCCUCUCUUCUUGGUCACCCCACCUCUUCAGAAACCCAGAGAGAUUUCUGAGGUCCACAUGUUUGCCACUUCCAACUGCAAUAAUGAACUCAUGGCUAACGUUUAUUGAGCAUCUACUAUUCUCUAGGCAAGAUUCUACAUGGAUUGUUUUGUUGAAUCCUCACACCAACCCUACUAUUGCCUCCCCUUUACAGAUGUGGAAACUGAGGCCUGGAGGGAGUAAGUUUUUCCCAAGGUCACAUGCAUGCUGAAUAAAUCCAGGUUGUCAGAUUCAAAAGUCCAGUGCCUAACACCCAAAUAAAUGUGGGGGGGGGGGAGGGUACAGACCUUCCCCUCCUGGAUACAGAGUAGCUACUCAGUAAAAGUGUUACUUGGAUUUUAUUCCAAGUACCCAGCAUCCAUCCCCUCUCCUACCUCCCCUCCAUCUCCUUCCUGCCCACCAUGAACACCCUGGCACCAAGGCACUGCCUGGCCCUCUCUUCCACUUCCAGAAGCAGCCCUCAGGCUGCCAUUUUGUGACUUAUUUUUCCUCUGAAUGCUCUCCUGAUGUUCACUGUAACCUGACCUCACUGAACAGUAAUACUGAGGAGGGGAGGCAGGGCCCCCUGCCCCAUCUGUCCUGACCCUUGGGCACCUGGAGAGCCCCCGGGCCUGUGCCUCCCAGGGGCCUGUGCCUCCCAGGGGCCUGUGCCUCCCAGGGCUGGCUGCUGCACCACACCACGAGGUAGCCACUUGAAGGGAUGCACCUGAAAGGCACAUUUUAUUUGCUUCCUGACACCCAUCUCUGACUCCAGCUGUGCUGCCCCAAACUCCUCACUUUCCCACCUCCUCUCUCCCUAAUUCCUGCCCUCCUCUUCCUUUCCUCCCCCUCAGACCCUUUCCCACCCUCUUUUGCUGGCUUCUGUUCUCUUUCUUUCCAUGAGCAGAGAGUUUCCAGCUUGGCUCCUGGCCAGCACAUUUGGACAAAAGGCAGCAAUCUUAGAGGAAGACGUCAUCUCGCACCCCCUUUCCCGGGGCCGGCACUGUGGCUCCCGAGCCCAGAGAGGGAGAAGGGGGCCCAGGCCUCUCUGCCACAGCUCCCUGUUCGGGGGAAAGGCCUUGAGAGAUGGGGUUAAAAGCAAAGAGUUUGCAAAUAGACCCACGCUCAAAUUCCCAUUCUGUCACUUGAGGCUGUGGGACCUUGGACAAGUUACUUUGCAAAGAUUUAGUCCUCUCCUCUGUAAAACUGUGAUAAUUGUAGCACCUAUUUUGAAAGACUGCAAGUAAGGAUUAAAUGAGAAUGCACCUGUAAAGCAUUCAGCACAGCACAUGUCCUGUAAAAAGUGCUCCACACGUCCCUUCUGUAAUAAAGCGAGCUUAACUCUGCCAAAUAAUACAAACAGGAGUAAUAACACAGGAGCUUGUGUCGAUGAUAAUAAUACCUCCUCAACUCAUCUGCAGGGCUACUGACCCAGCCUCAGUUGUCUCCAAGUGUGGUAAAGCUGCAAAACCCUCCCAAGCACGGAGUUGCUGUUACAACGUAAUCUGUGUGAGUUGGUUUUGACAUUGGAAGGGGAGCUGACCCCUUUUCCUUUUCAGUAGGAACCAGGACGUGCUCAGGCUCAGCUUCAGAGCUAGAUGUGAAAGUAGGAGGAGCCCACUGAGAUCAGCACAGCCGGCUCAUCCUGACUCCCCUCCCCCUCCGUUUUCUGGCUCCCUGAACUCCGAGGCCCUGGCUCUGUUUGUUUACUAUCUGUCUCUGGUGUUUGGGACUUGCAAGUUGUGCAAUGCCUGGGAACAUGUUCAUUUUUACUUAGCUAGGUUUUGAGAAAGGGAAAUGGUCUUUCUCCUAUGACUUUAUUUAGCUCAUCUGGGCCAGCAUGGAGAGAUUUGAAUUUAAUCAGUAAGAUGAAUCAAAGAGCGUGAGGUGCUGGGUGGUGGGGGGAUGCUGGGAAAUACACAAGUAUAUGGGAUGGUCCCUGCCUCUUAGAGGGAGGAAUAACAGCUAUAAACCCAAACAACCGAAUGGCAGUAAAAGACUGCAGUUGUUCACGAUCAAACGACAAGAUUAGUCCAGGGAAUGACUGACAUACGGUUCACGAGUUUAAGGACUAAAUUUGAACUACAGUGGUGGAUGUUACCAAACAAAUACAAACUGGAGGAACGCAGAGGUGGGCAAUGGAAGUCGGAAUGGCCACAGACUGCCUCAAAGAAGAGGUCGGACCUGGUGGCCCUUAAGAGGAGACUGGGUUCCAACAGCUGGGAAAGGAGAAGGUUGCAGGUGAGGCCAGAGCAGGAAGGUACACUCCCACCUGGGACACAGGGACCGAUGGGAUGUGAGCCAGGAGAAGAUGGAAUGGCUUGGGGGCUUACACUGGGGGAUGUCCUGAAAGGAAGGAGGAGGAGUUAAGACUUGCUCACCUGGGAAAAUAAAGAGAAUACAGAAUGGAGAAACACACUCUUUUGGACAUGAUGGGGUUAAAAUGGCACAUUCAAGAGGAGCCAUGUGGAGUAGGCAGUCAGAGGGAAAGAUUUAGGGGUCUGGUGAAAGAACACCCCUGGGGGUGUAAAUCUGGGAGGGAGCCCACGAACCUGUGAGCAUGAAGGAGAUCCCUGAGAGAAAAGUGCAGAGAGUGAAGAAAUAGGCACGGGGCACUCUUACACUGCCCCUGUUACUCAGCUUGACUCAGUUUCUUUUUUUUUUUUUAAUUUUUUUCAGUGUUUAUUUAUUUUUGAGAGAGAGAGAAAGAGCAAGUGAGCAGGGGGAGGGGCAGAGAGAGGGAGACAGAAUCCAAAGCAGGUUCCCGGCUCUGAGCUGUCAGCACAGAGCCUGACGCGGGACUUGAACCCACGAACCGAACCGUGAGAUCAUGACCUGAGCCAGAGUCAGAUGCCCAAGCCACUGAGCCACCCAGGUGCCCCACUGACUCAGUUUGUUUUUAUGUGUCCUCAUCUGGGCCUUCCAACUAGACAGUGGUAGGACAUGAGGGUUGGGCUUCUUUUUAUUCCUCUGCAGUGCCUAACCCACACUAGGCUACUGUGGGCGAGGUACAAAUGCUUGUUGAAUAAGAAAAAGAAAAUGAAUCAGUGAAGAUCUCCUUUUCUACAGAUGAUUAGAAUAACCAAAAUCUUGUGGUGUCUCAGGUGGGGAGGCAAUACGCAGAGUACUUAACAAAGCUGUGGCUGGGACACGAGCCAAUGAGAAUUGGCCUUAUGGUGAACCCUGUGAUGGCUGGAUCUGGGGCGGUUGGGGUUCCCAGGAAUGAGGGACACUGGGAGCUUGGGCAGUGACUGCUUACUAAGUGGUUCAGAAGCAUUAGCCAUUCUGACAAGUGGACAGUGUAUCAGUGCACACCAGUUCUCCAUCAACCUUGACCUGGGUCAGGGUGUCGCAUACACUAGGGAGCUAAAGAACAGUGAACGGCCUUCAUUAGAAACUUAGGAUAAGGUCUCAGCAGAGGGUUAGGGAAGGAAGCCAGAUUUCAGGCACUUGGGGGGGGGGGGGGUUGUUGCUGGUGGACCUGCCCCCGGGGGCUCUUCCUGCUGUUCCAGGUCCCCAUCCUGAAACCCCCUCCUUCUCUUUUCCUCCAGGAGGUUGGCAGCUUGAACCUGGAGCCUGAACCAAAGAAGCUGUCUCUUUGACCCCCUCCCCAACUCCCUCCUCUCUGCCCCAGGCCCGGGAUCCGGGCUAUCCAGGGUUCAGGGGAAAGGAGAGCCUCUGUGACCCUCCCUCGGCACUGCUGAGACCUCUAAGUCUCCAUGUUCUGGGAGGCAUUAGGGGGUUAAUUUUCUCUGACAUUUUUUCAGCCCAUUAGAUGCACCAGUUCAGCUGGAAGGUAAACAGAGAGCACUGGUCUCUUUUUGAUGUCCUGGGAGCUUGUGUGUGUUUGUUGUGUUUGUUGCCUGUCACCAACACAGAUGGUGAAAUGGGCCAGAUGUAAAGGAUGACAGCGGCCACAAGAUGCCGGGGAGCUUUGCUGGGGGUUGGAUGACCACACACUUCAUUCCACAUCUGAACCACUCUCACCCGCAAGUCAGAGUAUUAAGCAGAGAACCCCCCUGCGCCCCCAGAGAGCUGGAGACGUUUUCUGGCAGAGAAGCUCAGAGCACCGGCAAGCUGCUUCGAGAAGUUCCUCUGUGUCUUCCCAGUCUCCACCCUGGGCGAGUCUGUGGCUGAGAAGCUGGCCUGCUCCAGCUGUAGGGGAGGCAAGUUCUAAACCUCAGGUGCCCCCGUCACCCCUGCCCAGUGAUCAGAUCAGUGCUCUGUGGCUUCUCCCCCAACUAACAUCUCCCCUGACCACGCAAGGCUGAGCAUCAGGAUCUCAUUUUUAAAUUAUACGUCACUGGGCACAAAUAUAUUCAAUAUCCAUUUGGCUUUGAAAUCUAUUUUAAUCUAGCAAUUGCACUUCUGGGAAUUUAUCUUACAGAACUAUUGGAACAAGUGACCCAGAGUGCUUGUAGUGGCUAAACUCAGAAGCAACCAAUGGCUCAAAAACAGUAUGCUUUUUAGGAAAACAAAACUACUAAAGGAAAUGCAUCUGAUACUGUGUUUGAACUGGUCUGACAAGCCCUCCUGAUAAGACGCACAGCCCAAGGAAGGCCUGGAUACCAUGGAAAAAAUGGUCACUGUCAGGACUUCCUGUCCUGAUCCCACUCCAGCUCUAUCCUACUCUCAUUUCCUUCUGAAGGGGAGCCGUGGGACCUCUUUGUUCCCCACUGUUGAGGGAAGCAAACCUCUUCCCUGAGCUUGCCAUGAAGAUGACUCACCCCAUCCUUCCUUCAGGCCAGGGAGAAGAAAAAGAUAGCAGUUUUUGGCAAUUCAGCCUGUUAGAAAAGGGGGUCUAGGGCUCACCCCUCUUCCAGUCCACUGCAGGCCAAGGAUGGAUGCAUCAAAGAGAAGCCAAAGGCAAAGCAAUUCUGGACUGCAGCUGGCAAAGGGCUUAACUCUGGGCAAGCUGGGAGUCGACAGGAUACAUUUUUGCCCAGAUCAGACAAUGAUCUUGACACAAGGGUAAAAGAUGGUCUGACUCUGGCUUCCCAACAUAUUCUGUCUUUGGAUAUCAAAUGUAGAAAACUGAGCUACUCACUCACCUCAGUUCCAGACACUGACUUUUCUCCUAUAACUAAAGGGGUACAUGUGUCUGUCA